rnacentral:rRNA from 1 species
GACGGGACCCGCACAAGCGGUGGAUGAUGUGGUUUAAUUCGAUGCAACGCGAAAACCUUACCCACCUUUGACAUGUACGGAAUCCUUUAGAGAUAGAGGAGUGCUCGAAAGAGAGCCGUAACACAGGUGCUGCAUGGCUGUCGUCAGCUCGUGUCGUGAGAUGUUGGGUUAAGUCCCGCAACGAGCGCAACCCUUGUCAUUAGUUGCUACAUUCAGUUGGGCACUCUAAUGAGACUGCCGGUGACAAGCCGGAGGAAGGUGGGGAUGACGUCAAGUCCUCAUGGCCCUUAUAGGUGGGGCUACACACGCCAUACAAUGGCUGGUACAAAGGGUUGCCAACCCGCGAGGGGGAGCUAAUCCCAUAAAGCCAGUCGUAGUCCGGAUCGUAGUCUGCAACUCGACUACGUGAAGUCGGAAUCGCUAGUAAUCGUGGAUCAGAAUGUCACGGUGAAUACGUUCCCGGGUCUU